GGCCGUUACACCUAUAAAGAAUUUCACAUUCUUUGGCUUCCAGCCGCUUUGCAAAAAUCAGAAAGAAAACUUCUGGGCCGCGAGGUAGGGUUUGAACCAUGCAAGCGCGACAUUGGUCAUCCAUGCAUAACUGAAAUGAAUAUACAUUACAGCGUCAGAAAAGCAACAACUAAUAAAUUACUCGGCUUAAUAUAGUCCUGAAGUGGGUUUACGAACGGCCAGUGGCGAAAACGGAAUCGCAACACGAAGCUUCACUUUAAUCAGGGUUUUUUUUAACUGGUGCUGUUUAAUCGGCACCACUGAGAUGAUGAAAGAAUUGUUACGUGAUAUCGUGACCACUGGAUCAAGCAGAUAAAGUUCGAUAAAGCUGCUAUUGAAAAGAUUUUACAAUUAUUGUCCAGUGGAGUUGCUUGCUGAAAUAAAGAAUCGAAGGACCUUUUGAUUAAUGUUAAAGUAUUGUUAUGUUAACAUAAUAUAUUUUCAAAUCUUGGUGACAAUCAUUUCAUGGAAAGAUGAUAGACUUCCUUAAUAUCACUUCCAGUAUAAAGUCCUUUGUGAUAAGUCUCAUAUACUUUGACUACUUUGAAUGUUAAUGCAACUGAAAAUUUCAAAAAAUGACAAUUUUAAAAAGGUUGGCAAUUUACUUAAUUCAAAUCCAUGUAUUUUAUAGAUUUCUAACACAAAAUUAAUUCUAUGGAUGGUACAAUGCAUAAUUAAACGUCCAUAUGUAAAUAUAUAUGACUAUAAUGACAA